rnacentral:sRNA from 1 species
CCAGGGUCAAAAGGUCAUGUGUUUCAUGCUUGAAUGAAAAAACAUGACUUUAGGACUCGCAAAACAUGAGAAAGUAGCACGAAUAGGGCGGAUUUCGAAUGUUUUUAGGAUUACGAGAGCACGAAGUGCGUAGUAAUCCGUGGGUAUC